rnacentral:rRNA from 1 species
GACGAACGCUGGCGGCGUGCUUAACACAUGCAAGUCGAACGGAAAGGCCCUGCUUGCAGGGUACUCGAGUGGCGAACGGGUGAGUAACACGUGGGUGAUCUGCCCUGCACUUCGGGAUAAGCCUGGGAAACUGGGUCUAAUACCGGAUAGGAGCCAUUUUUAGUGUGAUGGUUGGAAAGUUUUUUCGGUGUAGGAUGAGCUCGCGGCCUAUCAGCUUGUUGGUGGGGUAAUGGCCUACCAAGGCGGCGACGGGUAGCCGGCCUGAGAGGGUGGACGGCCACAUUGGGAAUGGGAUACGGCCCAGACUCCUACGGGAGGCAGAAGUGGGGAAUAUUGCACAAUGGGCGCAAGCCUGAUGCAGCGACGCAGCGUGGGGGAUGACGGCCUUCGGGUUGUAAACUCCUUUCGCUAGGGACGAAGCUUUUUGUGACGGUACCUAGAGAAGAAGCACCGGCUAACUACGUG